rnacentral:rRNA from 1 species
AACGAACGCUGGCGGCAGGCUUAACACAUGCAAGUCGAACGCCCCGCAAGGGGAGUGGCAGACGGGUGAGUAACGCGUGGGAAUCUACCUAGUUCUACGGAACAACACAGGGAAACUUGUGCUAAUACCGUAUACGCCCUACGGGGGAAAGAUUUAUCGGAAUUAGAUGAGCCCGCGUAAGAUUAGCUAGUUGGUGGGGUAAUGGCCUACCAAGGCGACGAUCUUUAGCUGGUCUGAGAGGAUGAUCAGCCACACUGGGACUGAGACACGGCCCAGACUCCUACGGGAGGUAGCAGUGGGGAAUAUUGGACAAUGGGCGAAAGCCUGAUCCAGCCAUGCCGCGUGAGUGAUGAAGGCCUUAGGGUUGUAAAGCUCUUUCAGUAGGGAAGAUAAUGACGGUACCUACAGAAGAAGCCCCGGCUAACUACGUGCCAGCCGCCGCCGUAACAC